UGCGAGUCGUGUCGAGUGUCACGAAUAAGUUCUACCCCGGAGCCUUUUACCUCGUUGACUCUUGACACCUUGAGAAACUUCCAUUCAUCUUAAACCCUUCAUUUCCCUUUAAGAACGCUCAAAAGUCAUUCUUUGGCCUCGAUACUGUAUCCUACGAUCAACGGAAUACACACUUAACUUCUUCGUUUGAAGAAGAAAAUCAAGUAAAGCGAGAUCGUGAGAAGUACUCCAGAUCGGGCCUGGCAGAAUCCAACAACAAGCAGGUACAUAUCGCGAAGGCUGUUACACUGAAGAGAUCGCUAACAAAGUGAGGAUCAAAUAAUAACACGUUUGGAUCGCGCGCGGCUCCAAGAAGAUAGAUGGCGCCCGACGAACUAUCCCCCUUAAUGGCGGCUGAUCGUGUGCCGAAGGUUAUUCCUGAGUGAAAAUGAACCACUACUCGUGGAACAUCCUACUCGUUACGCUGACCUCACCCUUGACAUGAAUCGUCCUUUACCGAGGAGUGAGAUCAACAGACAGUACGAGAAACAUCUACAAUUUCUUUUCCUUUAAAUUCAUUAUAUUAUUUUUGAUACACAAUUUAGAAACUAAAUUUACCUUUUUCAAAUAAACAAUGUUAUUUCAUUUAAUUCACAAAUUUACCUAAAAACUAUUGGAUCAAUCAAUCAAAAUGAAAUAACAUUUUAAUUAAAGGGGUAGACGAAAUUUAAUAUAAUUCGCUUAUUAAAACAAAAAUUAAUAAAACAUCGUAAAAUAAUGUAUAUUUAAACAUUAAAAAUCGUUUCAUCCUUUACGAGGUUAAUAUCGCGUGAGUAAUUCACGGAAGGAGAGUUAAAUUCUACGAAAGUCAGGGCGUUCCUACGAACGGAUCUUCGUUUCUCAUGAAACUUCUCAAGAAGAAGAAGAAGAAGAAGAAGAAGAAGAAGAAGAAGAAGAAGAACAAGAAGAACAAGAAGAAGAAGAAGAAGAAGAAGAAGAAGUACAUAUGUGGAUCGAGAGAAAGAAAACCAAUGGAGAAGGGCACCAUGGAAAUAUACACUACACCUACAUAUACGCAUAUACGUAUGUAAUAUAUGUAUGUAUGUAAAGGGAUUUGCAAUAAAGAGACUUGAAA